UACGUAGGGUGCAAGCGUUGUCCGGAUUUAUUGGGCGUAAAGAGCUCGUAGGCGGUUUGUCGCGUCGGCUGUGAAAAUCCGGGGCUCAACCCCGGACCUGCAGUCGAUACGGGCAGACUAGAGUUCGGCAGGGGAGACUGGAAUUCCUGGUGUAGCGGUGAAAUGCGCAGAUAUCAGGAGGAACACCGGUGGCGAAGGCGGGUCUCUGGGCCGAUACUGACGCUGAGGAGCGAAAGCGUGGGGAGCAAACAGG
rnacentral:rRNA from 1 species